UCACGACCCUGUUAAGAGCAGAGGGAAAACCCUCACUCGAAUACAAAAAAAAAGAGAAGGGGAGAUAAAAAGGAAAAAUGACGAACUACACCAGUGAUAAGUGAAAAAUAAACUACAUCAAAGAUACAAGGGACCUUGUCUCAAUGAGGAAGGAUACUCCUAUCAAAAAACCCUCAGUCACUAAAAGAGAACUCGACAUAGGUCGAGGAGAAAUCGACUUCCUCAAAGUAACAAAAAGUUUG
rnacentral:lncRNA from 1 species